UCCCCUCCCCGCCUCGCCGCUCCGCUCGCGGGCUCGCGGGCUCCCUCGCUCUCUCCCUUCCCCCGCCGCUGCCGGCGCCGCGCCGAGCGGAGCCCGGCCGGCCACGGGCUGCCUCUCCCGAGGUCCCUUUCCCGAGGGGGGGAGGUGGUGGGGGCGCGGCGCAGGCGGGGCGGGGAGGAGAGGAGAGUCCGGGGGAGGCGGCAAGGCUGCGCCCUCGGCUCCCCUCCGAUCCCCGCGGGCCCAGCGGCCCCAGGCCGGGCCGGAGAGCGCCGAGCCGCCAGGCAGUGGAGGAAGAGAGGAGGAGGACCCGGAGUCUCGCCGCGGGAGGGUGCCCAGGGCGAGGGCGUGCGAGGGGGAGUGACUCCGCGCGCGAGGGUGUGUAUGAGUGUGAGUGCGUGUGUGUGUGUCUGUGUGUGUGGAGAGGGGCGCGCGCGUGAGCGGGGGGUGGGGAGACGAGGCAGAGCCUAGUGCGUCUCCCCGGGCGAGUGGAGGAAUCCUAGGGUGUGCCUGGAGGUGGCGGAGUGUACCGACGCGGGUGUGAGCGCGUGUGCCAGCGAGGGUGGGCACGGGGGUGAGCGUGGCAAGGGCAGCAGCACCUGCUUGAGACCAAGCCCGGCGACCUGGCAAGGUGGGGCCCCCUACCGCGCAAUCUUUGCGGCUGGCCCCCGGCUCUCAGCUCCGAGUGCAGAGGCUGAAGAGGUACCCGGGGGACACACUGCCUCUAACCCCACCUAUGAGCCGCUCUCCUCUCGGAGGACGAAGGCACCAUCAGAAGGUCGAGAUUCGCCCUCCUCUCCCGCCACGUCUACCCACUACCUAGACCGGGAGUCUGGACUUGGGAGCGUGAACUCUCACCCGAGCCGGUCCCCUUACAACUGGAGCCCGCCCAGCCCCUCAGUCCCUCCCUGAAGCCCAUGGGUCCCCACUGCUCCGUGCCUCGUCGACCCAGGAUGGGGAGUGGGAAGGUCAGCAUGUGCCCACAGGGCCAGGUGUCCGGCCCAGAUUCCCACCCUCAGGGCGGCGGCGCGCAAAGGGCGCAGUCCCCGCCGCUGGGCGGACCCGCGGCUCCGGCUUUCCCGGUGUCUCCAGCCUCGGUGCCCGGAAUCCUGGAUCUCGGCCUGGCGCUCCGGAAGCGAGGCAGCUCCGUGCCCCAGCAGGGACGGGGAACGCUUGGCUUGAGAGAUCACAUUUCUGGGUGUGGAGAGGUUUGAACUCCUGUACAUUCUCACUGUUGUUUAGCAUCUUGGGGGCAGCUCAGGGGUUGAGUGCCCCCCUCAGUGUUUGGAGGCUUCAGGAGACAGUUGGGCACAUCAUUUCUCCUCAGAAAGUCAACUAAUGGGACAGUUGUGGCCUCCUGAGACUCGUAAGCUCCGUUUGAAGACCAGACACUGGUCCAGACACCUGCCCCCUCAUUCCUCAUAAGCUCGUAACUCAUUGCUUAAGUGUGGUAGCUGUAGACUAUUCUCUCCUUUCUGUCUUAACCAUCUAGGGAAAAUAGGAAAGACUGGGAUUUCUAGUCUAGGCCAGUGUGGGUUUUGUUUACCAGUCCUUCCUACAACCAGGUGAUCUGCAAAAUGAGAGCAAGCGAUGGGGAGAAAGGAGGCCCCUUGAUUCGGGCAGCUGGAGUAGUCCUGCUGCCCAGGAGAUGCUGUCCCUCCCACCAGUCCCCAGUCAUCUAUUGCAUCUUUCCAGCACUGCCUGUCCUCACCUUCCCCCUCUGCCUCUGGUCCCGGCCUGGCCGGGAUUUUCACUUGCUUUUCCCCCAUGACACGGCCGCUUUUCCUUUAACUCUCAGCUUCUAUUUAAAAAGCUAAUUUGGGAGCUUGUCGAUGCUCCCAAUUCAGACAUUUUAAAUAGGAACUGAAAGUCAGGAGCUGCCAGGGCACUAGAUUUCCUCCCGUUGCCACCAGCACAGCUGAGGCAUUUGUUCAGUCACUCCUCUGGCCCUGGCCGUGUGUGUCUGUGUGUGUGAGCACCCGCGAGCUCAGGGUGUAUUUCAGGCUAUCUUUUCUAUUUAAAGACGGUGCUCCUAUGGAUGACUAUUCUUUCUCUGUGUGUGUGUCCUUUCCAAGCUGUGCACACAUGAGGAUUCUUCUUUAGUCUCAUGGCUGUGGCCGGUAUUUGCAAAGCUUGUCACCGUGUGGACUGUGAGGGUAAUUGGGAGCCCAGCUCAAAGUCGGCUGCUUCUUUGCUGACGUGCCAGGCUAGUGUGUCUGCGUGGCUGUUUCCCAGGGCUGCUCUGUUCAGGCUCUCUCUUUGAAGCUAUGCCUCAUAUGCCUGAGAAUGUCCUUAAGGGUCACUCCCACCCUCACUGCUUAUAGCUGUCCCAUUUUAGCAAUCUGCCCCAUGCUGGGGCAAGAAUUUUGGGGGUGGGCUGUACCUCUGAGGGUUACAGCCUUUCUACAUUUAGGGUGCUAUGUACCUUAGAAGUAAAAAGUACAGACUUUGAGGUGAGACUGCCUGGGUUUGAACCUGCGUCUGCUGUUAAUUAGCUGUGUGAUCAUGUGGAAGGUACUUAAUCCCUCUGUGCCAUGAUUUCUUCCUCUCUCAAAUGGCAAUAAAUAAUACUAUCUACUUUAUAGGGUUGUGAAAAUUAAAUGAAGUAACACAGAUAAAGUGCUUAGAAUCGUGCCUGGAACAUGGGAAGUACAAUAUAAUUGUUGGUUGUUGUUGUUCAAGGUAGGAGUGGUGCAGGCAGGAGGUGCAAAGAAAUCUGUCUGAGGAGGAAGAUAGAACUGCCGGAUUGUACACAGAGACACAUAUAGUCACUCACCCACCCAUGCAUGUAACAAUAAAAAUGGCAGGCCACAGCCCACAGGCAGUCAAGUUCACCUUGCUGAGAUAGUUAAUUCUGUAAGUCCCAGAAAAGGGAGAUUUCUGUUGAAGGAAUAGAGGAAGAGUCUAGGGAUAGAGAUGAGGAAGGGGCUUGACCAUGUCAGAAGCCCAUGGGACAUUUCUUGGGAGCCGAUUUUAUGCUGAAGAGUAAGUCCCGGGCCCCUCACUAUCCAUGUGGUCCCAGCCUCCCUUAUUUAACCACUGAAAGCAAGGCCUUUUGAAAGUGAGCUCCAGCGAGAAACUCAGGAGGGUGGCACCUCAUUCUCCCCAAGGCUCCCCUUGGGUUUGGGGUACUCUCACUUUCAUACUGCCAUUGCGUUCCAUCCCUUAUUCCCACAGCUGGGCAUGUGAGCUUUUAUUCAGUUGCUAUUAGAGUUUAUUUCACCUCGAUGGGCCCGCAGGAAGCUGCUAGCAGGAAGAGGAGCUCUGAAGGACAGGAGGCUGUCCAAGGGAUGAAAGCAACGUUGCAAAUGCUUGGCUUAGCAUAUCAGCUGUAAGCUGAGGAGCCACCAUAUGUUGGGCUCCUUGCUAGAUUUUCCAUAAUCCUGCACUGUAGAUAUUACCAUCAUUUUAUUGAUAGAGAACCUGAAGGUAGCUGGUGGAGAGGGACACUCCAGAAGGAUGUGAGGCUGCAUAGCUGGAUUGGAACUCUGACCUCUCCCUUUUGCCGCUAUCCCAGGAUCCUUGGUUUCCCCGCUUCUGAAAGUAGAGUAUCCUCCUCAGUCAGAUAGAGGGGCUAUCCUAAGAGGACACUCUUGACCUCUCCUGUAUUUGGCCUCCAUAAGUUAUGUGUGGGGUUGACAUAGUUUGAAUAUUUGUCCCCUCCAAAUCUCAUGUUAAAAUGCAACCCCCAAUGUUGGAGGUGGGCCUAGUGGGAGGUGUUCAGGUUAUGGGGGCAUAUCCCUCAUGCAUGUCUUGGUGCCCUCCCCAUGGUAAUGAGUGAGUUCCUGCUCUAUUAGUUCACGUGAGAGCUGGUUGUUGUAAUGUGUCUGGCACCUCCUUCCUCUCUCUCUUGCUCUCCCUUGCCAUGUGACACAUCUGCUUCCCUUUCCCACCCGCCAUGAAUAAAAGCUUCCUGAGACCUCACCAGAAGCAGAUGCUAGUGCCGUGUUUGUACAGCCUGCAGAAACCAUGAGCCAAAUAAACCUGGACUAAUACGGGGGUGGAGGCUCAGUAUGUCCAGGGUGGGGAUGCACCCUAUUUUUCUUCAGGGUGAUGUCUGCCUGAGGAAUUCCAAAGCUUAGGGGUGGCUUGGCUUUCUCUAGUUUCCCAAGGUGGGGUAGGAGGUGGUGGUGUAAAUGCUGACGAGCUUUGCCCCAGUCUCAGAAGGCCAGGGCUUUGCCUACCGGGUAUCAGCCCAGGUUGUCCAGCUUCCAGGCCAGGAGGCACUGUCCAACAUUGGUGGCCCCAAUGGCUGAAUGCUCACAACUAUCAGAUGCUUCUAGUCCCUUUCUGAGGGUGGAGAACUCUUGCUUCCUGCAGCACUAACUCCAUUUUGGAGGCCAGUAGUGGCCUGGAUGGUCAUCUCAUUGAUCAAUAUGCUUAGACCAGUUAUGGCAAAUGAGAAGCCAUCCAACUUGCUGGGCUCCAGUGGAGCUUCUGAAAGUCAGCCCUUCCAGUGGACCUUCUGCCAGCCUGACCCCUGCUCCAACCAAGGCAGCUCCUGGGGAAAGCAAAGUCCAGGUGGAGGGUUUUCUGCUCAUCAAGACCUCCCUUGGAGGGAGAUGCUAGGGAAGGAAGAGGAGGGAAGAGAAGGAGGAAAGCAAAUAUGAGAAGGAGAGAUAGGUACUGGGAGUUUGGGGGAAAUCCUAAUCAUUUGUUUAGUUUCUUGCUAGAAAAUCUGGAGAAGGGUGAGUGGAGGCUGGGGAUAUAACUCUUAGGUGCAAUGACUUGUUUUCUGCUGGUGGUUUCUUUUGCUUGUGUGCUGAUGUUUCCCAGGUCUCUGUCCUUGGCCUUCUUUGCUUCUCUCUCUGCCCUUUUCCCUGGAGAGUUUAUGCAAGUCCAUGGUUUCAAGUUCACUCAGAUGCUUAUGAUUUCUUCCUGCACUCUUCUGUUCCCAGUAAUGAUCCACUGUGCAUCUCCAUCUUUGUACAUAGGCACCUCUAUGCUUCAUCUCACCAGUGGCCUUAAUCCUUCUGCAAUCAAUUGUUUCCCCUAAAAAACCCUCUUCCUAUCAUGGUAUAUCCUCUACUUUCUUUCCAGCCUUACCUUCUUCUACUUACUCACAUCUUCCUUUCUAGCAUGUAGAUCUUUUCUUCAUUACCUGCAAAAUCUCAUAUCUUCAUGUCUUUGUACAUGCUGCACCCUCUUCCAGAAAUGCCUUCCACCACUUCCUAUUUCCUUUGUCUUCCUAGCAAACUUCCACUCAGCCUCAAACCUUAAAUACCCAAGAAAAAAGUCAUGUAAGUGUUGGUAAAGUCCUCCCCCACAUCCCAGGAUGAACUAGUCGUUCCCCACUUUGGAUUUUCACAGUCCUUCCUGCAUACCUCAAAUAUGGUUCUUAUGACCUGUAUGGCCUUGUUUUCUGCAUAGUGGUAUCCCUCUCUGGACUUCAAGCUGUUUAUGGCAAGGACCGUUGUCAGCCAUUUCUGAAUCCUAGCUCAGUGCUCGGGACAUUGCAGAUGUUCAAUACAUUUGCAUUAAUAAUUUAUUUUAACUUUAAUUUACGUGGCUCCCUUGAUUGUAUGUAACUGGGAAUAUGUGAUUAAUUUGUCAACUGGUUGGUCUCCAGGUCCUAUCUGAUUGAUCUUAAGCACUAGCAUGAGGACAGAAAGAAGAAUGAGGGUGUUCCAUUUUCAGCUGAUCCUACAUGAAAAGAGCCCCAAAGCCCCACUCCUCCAGUAGGGAGGAAAGGAAAGUCUUUUCGUAUCUACAAAGUGAGCCUCAGUCGAUGCUGCCUGCAGAGACCUUGCCAGUGUUCUUUUCUUGAACCAGAUUGGUUUUCAGAUAACUCUUUUCUUUCCUUUCUGGCAGAAUGUCAAUCACAUAUCCAGAAUAUCACCUCCUUGGGCACAGCCAGGGCAUGGUCCAUUGAAAAUGUUCCUGAUUGCUGGAAGCUGACGGCUCACCAUAAAAGCCAAAAUGGGGACCUGUCAAAAAUGUUUUAGCCAAACUAUGGCUUGGCUCAGGAAGAUGCCAAGACCAAAGGCUGCUGAACUUUAAGUAUAAACUUGCAUGAAAAGCACAUUGCAGGUCUGAGACAGUGGAGGCUUAGUGGUGAGAACAUGAGCUCUGGAUAGACCUGGCUUCAAGUCUUGGCUCUGUCAUUCACCAGCUGUGUGAAUUUGGGCAAACCACUUUUCUUCUCUGAUGCUCAGUUCCCUCACCUAGCAAAAUGGGUUAUAAUGAUGGCAUCAACUCAUAAGGUUCAUGAGGACUGAGCUAGAUAAUGCAAACAACAUGUUUCAUAUACAAUAAUAAAUAAAAAUGUUGGCUGUUAUAAUAUUGUCACUGAGUCUACAUGUAUCUGAAACUAGCUCUUUUAAAUCCUGGGUACAGCUUUACAAGCAGUAUUGUGUAGUUUAGACAGAUCACCUGAGUUCUUUCUAUGUAAUUAUUGUUUCUACUGAACCUUGGUAAAUGUGUGAAAUCACAGAAGUUUGUCCCUAGACACUCCCCUCACCCCACUGGCUCCUCUCUCCAUUCUGUGCAACCCCAUUUCUGCAGCCUUGAGCUUCAGCCCAUUUCUCUCCAUUUCCUCCUCAUUAGCAAGAACUGAUAAAAUUAUUUGAACUGAUAUGUAAGUGACCAUCUCAUCCAGAGAUAUAGUAUUCACAUUUUAGUAGGUCAGAGCCUUAAGCCAAGGCAGUGAAAUAGAGUGGAUGGUACUUCAAGCAUUCAUCAAAGUAAUGGGGAAAGUUUGGGGUCCCAGGAGACUCUUCCCAAUUCCACAGAGUCCUGCCCAUUCAUAAAACUGGUACUAUUGAUGCAUUAUAAGCAACAAGGUGGUCCGUGUUUGAAUUCUGCAGCUGGAAAAUCAAGUCUCCAGCUUUUGCAAAAGUGUUGUAAUAGGGAAACUUGGACACUAAUUUUAUAUACCAACCUCUUCUUGGUAAAGAGACAUAGCUCAUGAGCACCAAGGCCUUUCCAGCAUUGCACAUCUAUGAUACUUAUACUCAAGUGCAUUUUUUUCUUCAGAGCUCAAGGCUAGAGUUGGGUGUUUUUGCCUCACUGGGUUUGUAGGAGACUCAGCUACAAAGUCAUUAAUUGCUUUGGUGAAUCAACAAGUAAAGAAAGACAGUCCAGCUAUUGUCCCCACACUGCAAAAUCAUAAGAGGCUUCUGGACUUCUCCACAAAAUCCUCAUUAAAGAUGAGUCCUCAUGGCUCUUACAGAAUUCUUUAUUAUGUCCUUUGUGCUGAGACUGCAAGGUAAAGAAAGAAAAAAGGGAAAUAACUAAAUUUGUUAUCAUGGAAAAUUUCAAACAUACAAAAGAUGAAAGAAUUGUAUAAUAUACCCCCAUGAACUUGUCAUUUAGCUUUGAAAGUUACCAACUCAUGGCCAAUCAUUUUUCAUCUGUACCCUACUCACACACUCCCCCACCAUAAUUUUGAAACAAAUUCCAAAUAUAAUUUCAUCUGUAAAUAUUUCUGUGAUUGCACCUUUGUUAUGGCCAACAAAAUCCAUCUUUCUAGAAGAGAAGUCAUUCUUCCCUCCCUCCAUGAUGCUAAGAACAUUUGGCCAGUACCUGCAUCCAUGCCCAGGAGUGGUCUCUGGGUUAGGCAAGCUUGAGGGUUUACUGAAUGUUAUCCAAAGUUUGUCCUUUUCCUUGGGUAGAAAAAGGAACCCAUAAAAUGUCUGGUAGAGGUGCCACUGUGUGCAAGCUUUUUUUUUUUUUUUUUUUUUUUUUUGUCAGCAGGGAUGAUGCUCAAUAGCUGUGAUGAGGUCCAAGCUGAGAGAAAAGAGUCAUGAUCAUGAAUCCCAACUGGAUUCAUCAUUUUCCACAUACUUUACUUCAUUUAGCUUUCACCAAUUCUCAUGUUAGUUCCAUUUUACAGAUAAGAAAACUAAGACCUAAGCUCACCCAGCUAGUAGUUACUUGUGGCAGAGACAGACUAGAUGCCAAUCAAAUUCAGUUCCUCUUUUCUGUAGAUACAGUUAGAUUACUUUCCCAGGUUCUCUUGCAGUUAGGUUUGGUCAUCUGACUAAGUUCUAGCCAAAGUAAUAUAGGCCAGUCCCAUGAAAAACAUCUAGGGCAAUUUAGCAUGUUCUUUCUUUCUCCAUCCACUGGCUGAAUGGAAAAAAUUUCAAGGGCUUAGAAGGGGACAGAGCCACAAGAAGGAAGGAACUUGGGUCCCUGGGUGACUAUGUGAAGUAGAGGUCCCUCCCAACUUCCUUUGAACUGUGAAAUACGCAAAAUAAAUAAAUAAAUAAAUUUUUAUUAUGUGAAACUGCUGAAAUGUGGGUGAUGUAUGUUCAAGUAGUAAUGCCUACCCUGACCAAUACAGUGGCAUAGAUGGGAUUUAAACCCUCAAUCUGACUAUGCCAGUGUCCAAAGUCUUCCCCUAAACCACACUGCCUCCAGGCACAACAAAUAAGAAUUGCUUAUAAGAAUCACCUACAUGCUCAGCAUGUGAUAGGACUGUCUUCAAGGAGAUCUCGCAUCUUAGAUUUGUGCUAAUAUGAUAGCCACUAGCCACAUGGGGCUGUUUAAAUUAAAGUUUAAAUUAAUUAAAAUAAAGUUAAAAAUUCAGUUUCUUAAUUGCAGGCUCACAUUUCAAGUGUGCAGUAGUCUUAUGUAGCUAAUGGCUACCACAUUGGAAUGUGCAGACAGAGAACAUUUCCGUCAUCAUGGAAAGUGCUGUUGGAUAAUGCUGUCUUAGAUAGACCUUCAUUCACAACGCACCCCUCCCCAGACCCCUGCAGAAAAGCUGGAAGAAGACGGGGAUGCUGCUCAC
rnacentral:lncRNA from 10 species